GCUAAACAUCUGCAACCCAAACAAAAAUCGGGACAGAAUUCAGUUUGACAACUGCACUUGACUCAAGAUAAUAUGACAACUUGCCCCUUGCCCCCCCCCCACCAAAGAACUGUAAGUUUCGUAGCCUGCAUUUAUAUUUAGAUUACAGACAAGGAGGGAAGAAGAGCAGAAAUGUGUAUCCAAGUUACAAACAACAGCAAUAGGAGAGCCUCUUGGCGGAAAUUCAAUAGGAUUCCUGUUCCCGGGAGGGGACCCUUGAAUAGUCCGACAAGGUGAUGUGACUGGCAUGCCUUUGGAUGUUUCAGGAGUCAUAACAUAGGCCAGAAAGUAGGAAGGGGAGAGGAGACGGCCCCAAGUUCAUGUGGCCAAAAGAGAAAUCUGAGCAAAAAAUAAUAAUAAAAAUUUAAAAUGGAUAUUUAGCCAGUAAGGCAACUAAUUUCUCUCUAUGCAAAGGAGCCUGGUUAGAUACCCCAGAAGUCUUGGUUUCGGUGCCCCUACUGAUAGCAGAUCAAAUCUCAAAUACAUCUUUUCAGGCAACUCAGGUAUGCAGCAUGGAUUCAUAUGAGGACAUUGUCCCUCAAGACAAAAAUGCAAGAAAAGUAGAAAAGUCAACCAGAGGAAACAAUGCAAAGAAGAUCUAAGCAGAAGUCGUACUCCAGGUUCUAAUUCCCAAGCAGGAUUUGCAUAAGAUGAAGAUCCAGGCUUUCUCAAGAGCAGCUUCUUCAGAAUUCUUUCCCACUCCCCUGAAAGAGCUCUCCCUAGGCUGUUUACACUAAGAAUGGCCCAAAAGGAUGGAAACUUGAAGGCAGGGGUGAGAAGCUCUCCUUUCCAAUUUAACACCACUGCUACGAAAGGUGAGCUGUUCACUUCAGUGUCCCCCUGUUGCAAUUCGAGCAGACUAUUCAGUCGCUGUGAACAGACCUGAAUACCGUGCUGGGCUGUACUUCAUUCAUUCAUUCAUCCAUUCAUAAAUGGGUGCCUACUGUGCUUUGUGCACUGUGCUGGGCACAGUGGGGAGAACCAGGCACGGAGCUGCCCUCUGGAAACUUAUUGCAAGAGGGAAACCAGGCCUUUUCAAUCACAAAGAAAUGCACAGUUGUGUCUAUGAUUAAGUACUUUGCAUGUAAGGGACCUGCGUGUUUUGACAGCCUCUAAUAGGGGAUUUUGAGCUAGUCAGGGAGGUCAGAGGAGGCUUCUCCGAGGAUGUGACAAUUGAACGGCCUUGUGAAAGCUGGCGAGUUAGCCCACUAAAGCCAUGAAGGGCACUGAAGCUAUUCCAGGC